GGGAUCUAUUGAGUGAUAACGAGGCAAAGCCGUACUUUGAUAGUCUUAUUCGCCAGAGUCUAGGUAAAUAUAUGACAUAUUUCUGCCUAUAAUAAAUUUGCAUAACCACUUACCACCAAUAAUGUAAACAUCAUUUGACAUAUUGCCUCCCUUUCCUUUCUUACAGCUUGUGGAAACGCCAUAUUUGUUGUAGCUGAUGUGAGAGUUAGGUCCUGUCCAGCACUCUUUCCCAUUUUGAAGCGCAAAGGCCUUGUACCCUUUUAGUAAAGCUGUUGCCGCGCAUGCCCACUUCUCUUUAUGGCCGAGAUAUUUCGGGAAGGAACGCUCUUGUUCGUUGUAGCAGCCAACGUGGCGUGGCAUACCUAGUUUUCCAUAGCAAGUAGCUGCAAGGGCCAAGAGAAUCAGCCUGGUCAUUAUUUCAAGCUUCAUUUUGUACCUGGAAACAAAAAAAAGUAGGAAUUAACUAUGGAAAAACUUGUUACCAAGCGACGCCAACUACUGAUGUGUGACUUCAGGAAAGAGGACUAAAAACGCGUGAGAACAAGAAAACUACUCAAGUUACUCCAUUAAUUAAAAUUAGUCAUCCGGAACACUCCAAUACUAGCUAGAGUCACGCUAAAGUAUCUCAAAAUUAAGUAAAGAUGAAUAAAGAUAUUUUUUCUUUA